AAAUUGAAGGUGUUGUUGAUCAAAAAUCGAAUGCAUGAAACUAGUUCUUCGCUAAUCUAAGCAUAUUGAACAUAAGGAUUGAAAGAAGAAGAAGCUAGUUCCGGUUCGCAACAAAAGGUUCAAGAGAGAGGUAAAUCCUCAAUUUAGGCGACUUGGCAAUUUGGAGCGAGCAAAUGCACACUUUAUGGUUAUCAAGCGCUUCCGCUAUUACGUAUUAAUGUUUUGGGUCAAAUGCUCGUUUUUGUAUAACAUUGUUAGUGGUUACACUUUCUAACACUUGAUGUAUGGUUUUUAGUCGUGUCUAGUUGAACGGGUUGUAGACUUGUUUGUUUGUUAAUGGUUAAAACAGGGAUAUGCUCGUCUUAUGGACGGGUCAUGCCCAAAUUUUGUUGAA